ensembl:lncRNA
GUGUUUCUUCAAUAAAAUAGAGGUCCAGAAACUCAACUGACACUGAGUGUGCUCCCACUUGGUGUUAGAAGCUGAGAGAAUUAGAUGCAGACCUGGCUGCAGGGAGCUUCCUUAUCUUCCUAGGCUUGGGGGUGGGAGGUGGGAGGGAAGUGAGAUGGUGUCAAGUGAUCAGACCGGAUGGCUCAAGUUUGGGAGGGCAAGUAAUUACCACUCAACAAAUGUUAGCUGUUCAUUCAGUGUUUUGUAUUUAAUGGAAAUCAAACAGUCCAUUCAGCACCAGAAGAAAUUUUAAUUAAAGCUUAUAGCAGGCACCCACAAUAUCUAUCACACACCAAGCCACCUCAAGUGUCUGUCACUUCAGACCUUGCCUUCUCCCUGUUAGGUUCCCUACCCAUCAACAACACUGAUACCAAGGCCUGAAAAACCAAGGUCCUCUCCCCGACUCAGGCUAUGUUGGACUGUGAUCUGUUAAGAAGGAAACGGGAAGAGAACAACGGAAACAGAAGACAAGAGAGGGAGGAAAGGAAGAGGAGUAAAAACCCAGUAUUGUAGAGACAUUAAAUAUUCACAAGUGAUAAGUCAACUAACUGCUCAACAAAACAGAGCUAUGUAAUUGUGUAGUUGAAAGAUAAUUCGUUUUGUAAUGGAUUUACUUUGAAAAAUGAAAUAACUGCAAGUAUGCAGGGAAAUGAGGUGUGUGGGGGGAGGGGGCAUUUAAAAGAGCUUUAGGACGUGCUUUCCUCCACCCAGCCUUUCUGUCAACUCAUUUGGUUAAAUAUUGGUUGGGGUCUUUCUUGAAUUGUUUCCUUUCUUUCUCCCAAUCACUGUGUUAAGGUCAGCACCAGAUAAGACUACAAGACCUCUGCUCUGUCACUAUUGGCUGUUUGGAGGGAAUCUCUCCGAGUCUUCAAAGAAAUCGCAACACAGCACCUCCGAGUCCGAGAAUUAAAUGUCACAUCAUAAAUGUCUACUGUGGAACAGUAUCAGACACCCCUUCCUCAUUCUUCUUUCAUUCUGCGCCAUCUGGUUGCAGGAAUCUAAGAUCCAGUCAUUUCUCCAGGCUCAAGUCCUGAGGGAACGUUGUAUCUCUCACCGGUUCCCUUAUUCUAAGGUCCCGGGAUGUCUAAAUCCUGGAAGCACAAUACAGGGUCCCAUAGCGUUUCAAAGUUAAGGUGGUGCAAAGAAGCUAGCUUUCCCGCCGCCUCCUAGCUGUACCCCAAGAUUCUUUCGAAUUCGUUACCCGCCGCCUGUGCGCGCGCAGAAGGCCAGGCGAGCUGCAACCACGGGGCCGAGCGCCCCCUCCCUGCUCUGUUCCCCCCUCCUCCUCCCGAUACAAUGACUGGGCCGGAACAGCGCAUCCGCCGAGCCUCAUUGGCAGGGCCGCCCUGGCCCCUGGAGAGGCGACGGGCGGGGGCAGUGCCGAGAGAGCGGUGGAGAGCCGGUGCUGACAGCGGCCAGAGGCUGGACUGAGGGAGGUGGAGACACUCGGAAGGCGGCUCCGGGCUCCUCCGCGGAGCGUGGUUAUUCUGGUGAGGAUACCGGGCCAGGGGAUGCUGCGGGCUUUGGCUGCGGGGCUAGCCGCCGCGGAGUUCGACUGCGCGGCUCCGACGCUCAGCCCAACCCUGGGAGGAGAGGAAGAGCACCGAGAGGAAGACAGCUGCUGCGGGGGAAAGCAUCGCGCGCCGUGGAGUUGCGGGACUGGCGCGGAGCGGGUUCUCCGGGUCCCGCGCGCUGCACAGCGCAGACAAUAAAGUAGCAAGGCGACAGCCCCGCUCGCUCGAGGAAGGAGGAGGCUGAGCAGGAAAUAUGGAUCCUCAGAUGAAUGACUGUGCACGUGUUCCUCCACUUACUACGCUGAAAAAGAAGGCAUGGACCCCUGAGAAGCCAGCUUCCCACAUAACCAGGGAGCCAUCUCCCUAGCUUCUACAUGAGAACCCUUUGAGAGUGCAAGUUAAAAACCGAAACUGGAAAACAUCAUCCUGAGUGAGCUAACCCAAUCACAGAAAGACAUACAUGGUAUGCACUCAUUGAUAAGUGGCUAUUAGCCCAAAUGCUUGAAUUACCCUAGAUCCCUAGAACACAUGAAACUCAAGAUGGAUGAUCAAAAUGUGAAUGCUUCACUCCUUCUUUAAAAGGGGAACAAGAAUACCCUUGGCAGGGAAGGGAGAGGCAAAGAUUAAAAC